GCGCCCGUAGCUCAGCCGGAUAGAGCAUCGGAUUCCUAAUCCGAGGGUCGUGGGUUCGAAUCCCGCCGGGCGCACCA
rnacentral:tRNA from 1 species